ACUUCCAUAUAAAAGAACUGUGCUAAAAUUGCAGAAUCCAGGUAACACUUGGUUUAGGCAAUAAUGCUAGCAGAGUAUUGUGUGGAAGGAGAGCAUUUUGCAUUGUGCCGGAAAAGAGUUGUGGCCGAACCUCUUUCUUAAUGUUCGUUGACCUCCUGUCUCGAGGCCCAGUGCAACAAUU
ensembl:snoRNA